AUAUAUCUUUAUAAAAAAAUAUUUUAUGAAUUUCCUAGAAAAUAAUAUUGGUUGCACAAUUUCUUAAAAUAUUUUACACUUUUUUAACAAAACAAAAAAAGACACUUGCGAGUCAAAUUUAAGUUUAGGAUACAAAAUUUAUUGAAACGCAUAAACAGAAACAAAGUGAUUUAACUCCUAAAUGACAGAGAAUUGAGCAGUGAAAUUGCAGGGGAAUGAUCUAUACACUAAAACUGCUUUAUUUAGCUAAAGUAAUUUAGGUGACUAUAGUGUUCCUUUAAUUGCCUUUUUGUGCUGUUGUUGACUGAAAGGUUCCAUGAAAUGUUCAAAUACAUUUUUAAAUUAGAUUAAUUUUAUAAAUAUAUAUGGGUAUUCAUUAUUAUUUUAUUUAUUACAGUGUGCUUCUUAUUUAUUGCGUUAGUUGUGUAGUCUGUGUCUCUUUUAAUUAUGAAUUAAUCCUAAAUUCUAAUUUACAAACAUUUGUCUUUGAAACCAAAAUCGUUCAUAUUUUUAAAUUGCUUUCUGUGCUGUGAGUGGGUUAAGAAUAAAUGUGACUUUGCAAAAAUCUUGAGUGAUGGUUCAGAAUUUUAUCACAUGACAGGAGGCUUCAUAUUUUGCAUAACUUUCUUUACUUUAUGCCUCCAGCAGCACAAGUCAAUCAGAAAAAACUUUAAACCAAUCAGUAACAGGCAUCACAUCCAUAUAUAAAGCCCUGACAGACACAUGACUUCCUCUUUCUUUGCUGCUUCCAGCCAAGGCACAGGUCAGAGUAUUUUGCUCCAAACUGUUUUACUGAUAUUGCAAAUUGUCAUUAGUUAAUCAUUUAUUGCUUAACAUUCAGUUUGCUCCAAACUGUUAUUUUAUUAAUAUUGCUAUGGUCACUGUAGUUAGACACCUUAUGCUAGACAUUCAGUUUUAAUCCAAACUGGUUUUCUGGAUAUUGCAAUGGUCACUUUAAUUAAACUUUAUUAUUUGACUUUCAGAUUGCUCCAACUGUUUUUAUUAAUAUUGCUAUGGUCACUUUAGUUAGAUUUUUAAUGCUAGAUAUUCAGUUUUGCUCCAAACUGUUUCUGGAUAUGCAUGGCCACUUUAGUUAAACUUUAUUAGCUUGUCCUGCAAUUUUGACCUAAAUGGUUUUCAUUAUUUUGCACUUGCCUUCCAUUUGGACUUGUAUUGUGUGAUAUUCUCCCCCUGUUACCCUUCCCCCGAAUUAACCCUGUAUUUUCUGCUUUAUUAGCCUGUUUGGUUUUCUGUUGCUGGCACCUUUUCUUUCCUAUGCUUUACUCUGGUCUCGCACGGAUCACUGUGUUUUACCGCGAUCGGGUUUUGUU